rnacentral:rRNA from 1 species
AGAGUUUGAUCCUGGCUCAGGACGAACGCUGGCGGCGUGCCUAAUACAUGCAAGUAGAACGCUGAAGGAGGAGCUUGCUUCUCUGGAUGAGUUGCGAACGGGUGAGUAACGCGUAGGUAACCUGCCUGGUAGCGGGGGAUAACUAUUGGAAACGAUAGCUAAUACCGCAUAAGAGUAGAUGUUGCAUGACAUUUGCUUAAAAGGUGCACUUGCAUCACUACCAGAUGGACCUGCGUUGUAUUAGCUAGUUGGUGGGGUAACGGCUCACCAAGGCGACGAUACAUAGCCGACCUGAGAGGGUGAUCGGCCACACUGGGACUGAGACACGGCCCAGACUCCUACGGGAGGCAGCAGUAGGGAAUCUUCGGCAAUGGACGGAAGUCUGACCGAGCAACGCCGCGUGAGUGAAGAAGGUUUUCGGAUCGUAAAGCUCUGUUGUAAGAGAAGAACGAGUGUGAGAGUGGAAAGUUCACACUGUGACGGUAUCUUACCAGAAAGGGACGGCUAACUACGUGCCAGCAGCCGCGGUAAUACGUAGGUCCCGAGCGUUGUCCGGAUUUAUUGGGCGUAAAGCGAGCGCAGGCGGUUAGAUAAGUCUGAAGUUAAAGGCUGUGGCUUAACCAUAGUAGGCUUUGGAAACUGUUUAACUUGAGUGCAAGAGGGGAGAGUGGAAUUCCAUGUGUAGCGGUGAAAUGCGUAGAUAUAUGGAGGAACACCGGUGGCGAAAGCGGCUCUCUGGCUUGUAACUGACGCUGAGGCUCGAAAGCGUGGGGAGCAAACAGGAUUAGAUACCCUGGUAGUCCACGCUGUAAACGAUGAGUGCUAGGUGUUAGACCCUUUCCGGGGUUUAGUGCCGUAGCUAACGCAUUAAGCACUCCGCCUGGGGAGUACGACCGCAAGGUUGAAACUCAAAGGAAUUGACGGGGGCCCGCACAAGCGGUGGAGCAUGUGGUUUAAUUCGAAGCAACGCGAAGAACCUUACCAGGUCUUGACNUCUGUUGCAGCGAUUGGUGUAAAGAUAUCGUAACCUUUCAUAAGGUCUUCGUUUACAUCUUUCACCAUGACUGCAUCACAGUGAACAUCAUAACCACGGUUUGAAAGUUCUUCUUCUAGAGCACUUUUAAUUUGGUAACUUGAGUUAACACCUGCACCGCAGGCAGCAAGAAUUUUAAUCAUUUGGAUUUCCUCCGAUUUUAUUUUUUAAUAGACAAGAUUAAGCGAUUGCUUCAGCAAUGUAAGCAUAAAGUUUUUCUGGUUCGGAAAUUUUUGAUAAAUCUUCAAGAUGUCCAUUUCCUGUGAAAAAGUCCAUCAACUGAGCCAGAAUAUUUGUUUGACUUGAACUUGAGUUAUUGAUGAUAAAGAAGAGCAAGGAUACUUCUACUUCCUUAUCAGGAGCUAUCAUAUUGUGAAAAGUUACUGGUUUUUCUAAUCGAACAACCACCACUUUUUCAGCUAGAUUAUGAACAAUAUCUGUGUGAGGAAUCGCUACAUUUGGCAAGUCCUUUCCUAGAAAUUCCAUAUCUAAACCAGUUGGAAAUGACUUUUCACGCGUGAUCAAGGCUUCACGAUAAGUUGGAGUGACAAUUUCUCGUUCUUCCAAUAAAGUUGCAACCUGAUCAAAGAGUUGUUCUUGAUUAUCCGCUUCUAAGCAAAACACAAGGUUUUUGUCAAAGAAAUAAUCUAAUACCAUAAGUUUUUCCCUUCUUUCCAUUAACUUUAUGCCAUAAGUAUAACACUAUAUGAAACCGUUGUCAAUUACUUUCUGUUCUUUUUUGUCUCUUUUUUUAUAUUUUUGUUUUGUUUAUAGUUUGUUAUAUAAAAAUAAACACACAAACAAAUACUCCAAGCAUUUUUUCUGUUCUAAUACUCAAUGAAAAUCAAAGAGUAAACUAGGAAGCUAGCCGCAGGUUGCUCAAAACACAGUUUUGAGGUUGUAGAUAAGACUGACGAAGUCAGUGAUCAUAUCGUAACCGUCCAAUAGACUUCGUUAUUGGGCGGUUACGAAAAACUUCCUUCCAAAUAAAAAGGAAUUAAGCAACCAAACGCUACUUAAUUCCUUGAAAUUGUCUCAUCGCCUCUAUUAGCCUUUAAAUUUUGAUAGACUCUAUUUUCUAAUCAAUAUGACCAAUAUUGUCAAUACUAACCCUUUCAAUCAAUUCAUUAGUUAUCUAAACUAAGUCCAUUAAUAACUCCAAAUAGUAUCAAUAGUGAAGUAAACUAAAUAAUUGAGUUAUAAAUGGCUGUUUUCACAAAACUAUGUCAUCACCUCACUAUCUAAUCUCAGUACAUAAACCAUUUUUUUCUAUAGCUUUUAUCUUAAUCUUGAUUUUUUUUCUUCAAUCCAAGAAAAAUUCCUACUAUAAACAUUAUUCCGGCAGCUAAUAGUGUCUGGGCUCCGCUUGCUGUUCCAGUUUUUGGCAACUUAUUAGGAUUGUUAGUAGUUGAUUUACUACUGAUAUUGUUUUUAUCAAGAACUGUAGCUGUAACAUCCUUAGUUGAAUCAGAUUUUUGUGAAUGAUCUUCUCUUUGUAAAUCCUCUUUUCUGUGACUUUCAUUUAAUUGACUAUGGUUUACUUGUGGGUUAUCUUUCUUUUUCGAUACAUCAAAAGUAGGUUUAUUUUCUUCCUCCUUUUUCUCCUCUAUUUUCUUGAAUACAGGUUUUAUAAAGGUAUCUUUUGAUAGAUUAAUAACAUAGCCAGCGUCUUUUUUACCUUCGAAACCAGAAAUUUCCCAACCAUCAAAUUGGUAUCCUUUUUCUAAUUCACCCUUAUAAACAGGUAAAAUAAAAUCUUCUUCCGACACUAUCGUUGAACUCAUUUCUUUUCCAUUUUGAAUGGUCACAGUUACCCUAUGAGGUUUUAAUUCACUGACCUCUCCCGUAUCUUUAUUUAAAAUGAAUUCUUUUACGGUUGUAUUUCUUGCAAAAUCUUUUACAACAAUCUUAAUGUUUAGUGUCUUGUCUGUUAUUUGUUUAAUAUCAUCAAACGAUGUAUAUUCUUUUCCAUUUAUAUAAAUAUGUUGUUCUUGAAUCUCACCAUCGAAUCCAUUAUUUCUUUUAUCAUUGAUGUUAAAGACUACAGAUUUUCCAUCAGCAUAUUCGAUACUAGUAUUUCCCUUAGGAUCAAUGUUUACUUCGGGUUUAACAUUAUCAUAUAAAAACUGAUAGUGGACUCCAACUGCUUUAGCA